rnacentral:misc_RNA from 1 species
AACUGCGAUAAGUAAUGUGAAUUGCAGAAUUCAGUGAAUCAUCGAGUCUUUGAACGCACAUUGCGCCCCCUGGCAUUCCGGGGGGCAUGCCUGUCCGAGCGUCAUUGCUGCCCUUCAAGCCCGGCUUGUGUGUUGGGUCGUCGUCCCCUCCGGGGGACGGGCCCGAAAGGCAGCGGCGGCACCGCGUCCGGUCCUCGAGCGUAUGGGGCUUUGUCACCCGCUCGAUAAGGACCGGUCGGGCGCCAGCCGGCGUCUCCAACCUUUUUUUCUCAGGUUGACCUCGGAUCAGGUAGGGAUACCCGCUGAACUUAAGC